rnacentral:rRNA from 1 species
UACAGAGGGUGCAAGCGUUGUUCGGAAUUAUUGGGCGUAAAGGGAGUGUAGGCGGUUUGGUAAGUCUUCUGUGAAAUCUACGGGCUUAGCCUGUCAAAGUGCAGAGGAAACUGCUGAGCUUGAGUGUCGGAGAGGGUAGCGGAAUUCCCGGUGUAGAGGUGGAAUUCGUAGAGAUCGGGAGGAACACCAGUGGCGAAGGCGGCUACCUGGCUGACAACUGACGCUGAGACUCGAAAGCAUGGGGAGCAAACAGG